AAAAACAAUUUCUUCCUUGUCAACUGAAGCUCGAUGGAAAAAAGCAAUUUUUGAUCUAAUUAAUCAGAGUGCCCUUAUACUCAAUACAAACUUCUGAACUGAAAACCUACGCGGCUACACAUUUUAGACAAAUGCAGCGAAAUACAUGUGAGCUUUUACGGACGUAUCAAACCAUAAACCACCUCCCAUCGCCCCUCGCUUAUAACUCUGUACAUAGAUGUAGCAUUCUGUUGCUUAACAAAAAUAAUGAUUGCAUGUAUGCCUGCAGAUGCUACACCCAUAAAAGAAAAAAGUGGACAAUUUUGACAAAUCUCAGUAGGGUGUAACCAUCAAUGUUGAGCCUCCUUCUAUAUCUGCACCAUCUUUGUUCAUAAGUAAUUGAAAUGUAGAGUUAAAAAAAAUAUAAUAGAAAAAUGAGUCACCUAAAAGUGGAUUUAAAAAGACUCGCAUGGAAAUGUCAACUCGCAUGGAAAUGUCACGAGGAUUGCUUCCAAUCUUCCGAAACUGAAGCAUGCAUCAUCAUCAAUUCACUUUCAUAUUUCAGGGUCAUUUGGACACAUCAAUGGAACACCAAUUACUUAUAUAAGGUUCAUGUUU
rnacentral:lncRNA from 1 species